rnacentral:rRNA from 1 species
CCUACGGGAGGCUGCAGUGGGGAAUAUUGCACAAUGGGGGGAACCCUGAUGCAGCAACGCCGCGUGGGUGAAGAAGUACUCCGGUAUGUAAAGCCCUGUCAGCAGGGAAGAAAAUGACGGUACCUGACCAAGAAGCCGCGGCGAACUACGAGCCAGCAGCCGCGGUAAUACGAAGGGGGCAAGCGUUAGCCGGAGUUACUGGGGGUAACGGGAGCGUAGACGGCUAGGCAAGUCUGGAGUGAAAGCCCGUGGCCCAACCACGGGACUGCUGUGGAAACUGUGUUGCUGGCGUGCAGGAGGGGUAAGCGGAAUUCCUAGUGUCGCGGUGCAAUGCGUAGAUAUUAGGCGGAACACCGGUGGCGAAGGCGUCUUACUGGACUGUAACUGACGUUGAGGCUCGACGGCGUGGGGAGCAAACAGGAUUAGAUACCCGAGUAGUC